UAAUCAUUUGUCUAUUAAUUGUAGACUUGCAUGAAAGGCAUCAUGAGAGUCCAACUGUCUCUUAUAACAAAUCAAUUAAACUGAUCUCCCAGUACAAAAGCUGGAAUCCCCCUAUAAGACCAGAAGACCCUGUGAAGCUUCAAUUAAACUAUUAAACUUUAUAAUAACUAAUUUCGGUUGGGGCGACCUUGGAACAAAAAAGAACUUCCAAAUACGUGAUAUUACCUCACAACGGCUGACAAGCCCACAGACCCAGUACUACUGAUUAAUGAACUAAGUUACUCCAGGGAUAACAGCGCUAUCUUCUUUAAGAGCCCAUAUCAAAAAGAAGGUUUACGACCUCGAUGUUGGAUCAGGACAUCCUAGUAAUGCAACCGUUUCUAAGGGUU
rnacentral:rRNA from 1 species